rnacentral:rRNA from 1 species
GAUCAUGGCUCAGGAUGAACGCUGGCGGCGUUGCUUAACACAUGCAAGUCGAACGAAGACAUCUGAGUGCUUGCACUUGGAUGGACUGAGUGGCGGACGGGUGAGUAACGCGUGGGUAACCUGCCUUAUACAGGGGGAUAACAGUUGGAAACGACUGCUAAUACCGCAUAAGCGCACGGUAUCGCAUGAUACAGUGUGAAAAACUCCGGUGGUAUAAGAUGGACCCGCGUCUGAUUAGCUUGUUGGUGAGGUAACGGCCCACCAAGGCGACGAUCAGUAGCCGACCUGAGAGGGUGACCGGCCACAUUGGGACUGAGACACGGCCCAAACUCCUACGGGAGGCAGCAGUGGGGAAUAUUGCACAAUGGGGGAAACCCUGAUGCAGCGACGCCGCGUGAGCGAAGAAGUAUUUCGGUAUGUAAAGCUCUAUCAGCAGGGAAGAAGAAAUGACGGUACCUGACUAAGAAGCACCGGCUAAAUACGUG